AUCAACAAUAAUAAUAUACUCAGUGUAUUCUCACGUAGCGGGAUCUAGGGAGGGUAAAGUAUACGCUGAUCAUACCAAUACCUAAAGUGAAGUAGAGAGACUAUUUUCGAUAGACCUCCGACUUAGGACCGAUAGCAAUAUAAUAAACACAAAAAAUAAGUGCAUAUAAACUAAUACGAUAUGCAAAAAUAAACUAACACUAUGGUACACAUUAACAUAGUUGCGUAAACACAUAUCGAAGUAACCAAAACCCUUAUCCUUGCAACUCUUAAAGCCGUAAUAAUGGUCGAUUUUCCGUCCUUCGAAAGGACAGAAAACGUAACAUUUACCGCAGCGACCGCGGUAAAAAAAGAAAGUAAAAAUAUAGGAAAGAAACAUAAACAUUUAAUGAAUAAUAAAGACUUAGCUUCUUUAUUUGUUUCUUCUAAUAAAUGUUCAGACUCAACAUGUAUAGAUGAAGAUAGUGAAAGUUCUUCAAGAUGUUGAACUCUAUUUUUCAAUGGAAAAGUGAUGAAGUAAAAUGAAAAUAUGAGAAAAGAAAGUGGAAAUGAAAGGAAAAGGAAAAGGAAAAAUGAUAUUUUUUUGGUGGAAAAUAUAAUUUUGAAGGAAUUAAAGAUAAUUUUAACAAGAAGAAAUGUGUUAUUUGGUUCUUGAAUAAUGUGUUUUUAUUUUUUGGAUUUUUGGAGGUUAUAAGAUUUGAAGUGAAUGGUGGAAGUGAA
rnacentral:lncRNA from 1 species